rnacentral:tRNA from 1 species
UAGUUAGUAUAACGGUUAGUAUAUCUGCCUGUCACGCAGAGGACCGGGGUUCGACUCCCC